GUGGGGAAUCUUGCGCAAUGGGCGAAAGCCUGACGCAGCCAUGCCGCGUGAAUGAUGAAGGUCUUAGGAUUGUAAAAUUCUUUCACCGGGGACGAUAAUGACGGUACCCGGAGAAGAAGCCCCGGCUAACUUCGUGCCAGCAGCCGCGGUAAUACGAAGGGGGCUAGCGUUGCUCGGAAUUACUGGGCGUAAAGGGAGCGUAGGCGGAUAGUUUAGUCAGAGGUGAAAGCCCAGGGCUCAACCUUGGAAUUGCCUUUGAUACUGGCUAUCUUGAGUAUGGAAGAGGUAUGUGGAACUCCGAGUGUAGAGGUGAAAUUCGUAGAUAUUCGGAAGAACACCAGUGGCGAAGGCGACAUACUGGUCCAUUACUGACGCUGAGGCUCGAAAGCGUGGGGAGCAAACAGGAUUAGAAACCCUAGUAGUCC
rnacentral:rRNA from 1 species